rnacentral:rRNA from 1 species
GACGAACGCUGGCGGCGCGCCUAACACAUGCAAGUCGAACGAGCGAGAGAGGGCUUGCUUUCUCGAGCGAGUGGCGAACGGGUGAGUAACGCGUGAGGAACCUGCCUCAAAGAGGGGGACAACAGUUGGAAACGACUGCUAAUACCGCAUAAGCCCACGGGUCGGCAACGACCAGAGGGAAAAGGAGCAAUCCGCUUUGAGAUGGCCUCGCGUCCGAUUAGCUAGUUGGUGAGGUAACGGCCCACCAAGGCGACGCUCGGUAGCCGGACUGAGAGGUUGAACGGCCACAUUGGGACUGAGACACGGCCCAGACUCCUACGGGAGGCAGCAGUGGGGAAUAUUGCACAAUGGGGGAAACCCUGAUGCAGCGACGCCGCGUGGAGGAAGAAGGUCUUCGGAUUGUAAACUCCUGUUGUUGGGGAAGAUAAUGACGGUACCCAACAAGGAAGUGACGGCUAACUACGUGCCAGCCGCCGCGGUAA